AAUUUCCUUUGUAAUUUUUACAGUACAAGAUGUGGCCUUCUUUCCUGAUAGAGUUGAGUCCUGAUGACGUUGAUUCAGGUGUAUAAUGUGAUACACCAUAAUUCAGGCUUAUUUUUGCAAGAGAGAAGAGAAAGCCCUAAUGGCAACUAAAAUGUGACUAUUUGCUGCUAAGUUCCAUGCGAGGGAAGAGUUCUGGCUUUAAAUGAGCAGUAUAAUGAUGUACACUAUACGUCAGGUA